rnacentral:rRNA from 1 species
GAAAGGCCAAUCAAACCGGGAGAUAGCUGGUUCUCCCCGAAAGCUAUUUAGGUAGCGCCUCGUGAAUUCAUCUCCGGGGGUAGAGCACUGUUUCGGCAAGGGGGUCAUCCCGACUUACCAACCCGAUGCAAACUGCGAAUACCGGAGAAUGUUAUCACGGGAGACACACGGCGGGGGCUAACGUCCGUCGUGAAGAGGGAAACAACCCAGACCGCCAGCUAAGGUCCCAAAGUCAUGGUUAAGUGGGAAACGAUGUGGGAAGGCCCAGACAGCCAGGAUGUUGGCUUAGAAGCAGCCAUCAUUUAAAGAAAGCGUAAUAGCUCACUGGUCGAGUCGGCCUGCGCGGAAGAUGUAACGGGGCUAAACCAUGCACCGAAGCUGCGGCAGCGACGCUUAUGCGUUGUUGGGUAGGGGAGCGUUCUGUAAGCCUGCGAAGGUGUGCUGUGAGGCAUGCUGGAGGUAUCAGAAGUGCGAAUGCUGACAUAAGUAACGAUAAAGCGGGUGAAAAGCCCGCUCGCCGGAAGACCAAGGGUUCCUGUCCAACGUUAAUCGGGGCAGGGUGAGUCGACCCCUAAGGCGAGGCCGAAAGGCGUAGUCGAUGGGAAACAGGUUAAUAUUCCUGUACUUGGUGUUACUGCGAAGGGGGGACGGAGAAGGCUA